rnacentral:rRNA from 1 species
CAGCACCUCAAGUGGUCAGGAUGAUUAUUGGGCCUAAAGCAUCCGUAGCCGGCGCUGUAAGUUUUCGGUUAAAUCUGUACGCUCAACGUACAGGCUGCCGGGAAUACUGCAGCGCUAGGGAGUGGGAGAGGUAGACGGUACUCGGUAGGAAGAGGUAAAAUCCUUUGAUCUAUUGAUGACCACCUGUGGCGAAGGCGGUCUACCAGAACACGUCCGACGGUGAGGGAUGAAAGCUGGGGGAGCGAACCGGAUUAGAUACCCGAGUAGUCC